rnacentral:rRNA from 1 species
CAACUUGAGAGUUUGAUUCUGGCUCAGAACGAACGCUGGCGGCAGGCCUAACACAUGCAAGUCGAACGAUACAGUGGCAGACGGGUGAGUAACGCGUGGGAACGUACCUUUCACUACGGAAUAGCUCUGGGAAACUGGUGGUAAUACCGUAUACGCCCUCCGGGGGAAAGAUUUAUCGGUGAAAGAUCGGCCCGCGUUGGAUUAGCUAGUUGGUGAGGUAAUGGCUCACAAAGGCGACGAUCCAUAGCUGGUCUGAGAGGAUGAUCAGCCACAUUGGGACUGAGACACGGCCCAAACUCCUACGGGAGGCAGCAGUGGGGAAUCUUGCACAAUGGGCGAAAGCCUGAUGCAGCCAUGCCGCGUGAAUGAUGAAGGCCUUAGGGUUGUAAAAUUCUUUCGUCAGGGAUGAUAAUGACCGUACCUGAAGAAGAAGCCCCGGCUAACUUCGUGCCAGCAGCCGCGGUAAUACGAAGGGGGCUAGCGUUGUUCGGAAUUACUGGGCGUAAAGGGAGCGUAGGCGGAUAGUUUAGUCAGAGGUGAAAGCCCAGGGCUCAACCUUGGAAUUGCCUUUGAUACUGGCUAUCUUGAGUACGGAAGAGGUAUGUGGAACUCC